rnacentral:rRNA from 1 species
UGAACGCUGGCGGCGUGCCUAAUACAUGCAAGUCGAGCGAACAGAUAAGGAGCUUGCUCCUUUGACGUUAGCGGCGGACGGGUGAGUAACACGUGGGUAACCUACCUAUAAGACUGGGAUAACUUCGGGAAACCGGAGCUAAUACCGGAUAACAUUUGGAACCGCAUGGUUCUAAAGUGAAAGAUGGUUUUGCUAUCACUUAUAGAUGGACCCGCGCCGUAUUAGCUAGUUGGUAAGGUAACGGCUUACCAAGGCAACGAUACGUAGCCGACCUGAGAGGGGGAGAGCCAACCAGGAAAGUGAGACAGGGCCCGAACGCCGAGGGGGGGAAGAGGGAGGGAAUAGUCCGAAAGGGGAGAGAGCCGGAGGGAACAACGCGGGGGGAGGGAGAAGGGUUUUGGUAUAGAAAAACUGUUUUAUGAGGAAAAAAAAAAGGUGAAAGUAACUGGGCACGUCUGGAGGGUACAAAAAAAAAAAACCACGGAAAACAACGUG